AUCUGGGCAGGGCUUCUGGAUCGGGCUCUUGGUGCCCCCAGCCGGGACGGGCUGGAUGUGGCUGAACGGCUCCCACCUGGACCGGCACCGGUUCUAGCUGGAUGUCAGGGAGAGAUGUGGCGAUUGUGGGAUGAUCAGGACCAGCAGAAUCAUCCCUCAGCGCUACGGCGAGGAAUUGCAGUGGAUCUGCCAGGGAGAAGCCACCAAACUCUACCCUAGGGCUGGAAGGGACACUGGGGCAGGAUGUGGGAGCCAGGUGGGAGAUGUGGGGGCCGGCACUGCCGUCACUGCACAACAACUGCCUGCACAAAUGGAUGGUGACUUUUCCUGGCUCUGCUCUCUGCUGUGUUCAAACCACGUCACAAAGAGAGAGCAAAGAUCCUCCAAAUUCCGUUUCCCAGGCUGCAAAGAUCGGCGAGACUCAUGCCUUGUACAGACAUUCCUACAGCGGUCCUUCUGAGUCCUUUCAGUGGAAUCUGUCCCAAGACUUCGAACACGGUGUGGGGCAGCCCCACGGGGAGGUGGACCCGGGGUGCUGCUGAGCCCAAUCCAGUCCGGCCCAUGGAGCUCACGCCGCACCCCUUUAUAAACCCCAGACCCCCCUUUUCCCACACUGCCACAAUGGGCUCCCCUGCCUCAAAACAUCCCAGAUGCGCCGGAUGCAGGGACGUCCCCUUGACGGAUUUUACAUCACUCCCUUUCACCCCACAGAGCCGGAAAGGAAAAUCCCCAGCUGCCCCAUGGCCAUCUCUACCUGCCUUCCACAGCUCCAGGCCUACACCUUCUCCCCUCCCCUUUACUUUGCACCAGCUUCUCUCUCCUCCUCCCCCUGACAGUUCAGGGCAAGGAGAUUUCACCCACUGGCACCACAUCCCUCCUCUCACUGUGUCCUACUUUGCUCAGUUUUUAUUUCUGUCACUGCCUGCCCGCACAGCCAGACCCGCCGUGGGGCUGGGUAAUGAUGGAGUGAAUUAUUGGAGCAAUUACUGGGGCUGGCUAGGCCUGGUCAGUGCCACCAAAAUUGCUCUGUCACUGCCCUCCUGAGGCUGGGCAGGAAACAGAACACAAGGAGAGGCUCCCAGAGGAUCAGAAUAAGAGCAGGGAGAGGUCACUCAUGGGCACAACGCAUCUGACUUGGGGAAAUAAUUGAAUUAAUUAUUGCUGGGAAUAAGGUUUUGUUGUUGUUGUCCGUGUUGUCAUUGUUGUAGUUUGUUUGUUUGUUUUUCGGUCAGGCAAUUUUUUCUCCCAUCUUCUACUUGGAAGAAAAAACGGUGUGGGGGAGAGAGGGGAGACAAACAGGAGCAAACAAAUGAAAUGGCCACACACUUUCACAUACCACAGGAAUGGCUCAGCCAGAGAAUGGAGAGUUUGGAAGUCUUGGCUGGGGAGUGACUUCUCUUGUCUGAGGGGAGGUUUUUCUUGGGAAUUGCAGAAAUACCUCAAGAAGUAUUGGGGUGGACUCUGAGAUUCUUGACUGGGGAGGGGGGAGCUGAUCUCCAGUGCUUUCAGUGUGGCUGAGGACUGAGAGAGAGUGAGCGAGCGGUCACGCAUGUUGCAGUGAUAUGCAGAUAGAAAAACUCUGUAAUUCGCAGAGUAAUGAUGAGAGUAAGUAUGAAUUUAUUCAGCACUGAGUUGCAUGGGGGGUAUCUCCUCCAAAAGCAUGCACACCUUGGAGACUUGUUUCUCCCUUUUUAUUCUCUACAAAGUAGGGUUACACAGUACGCCUAAUACAUAUUCAUUUGCUAA